UUGAACUUAAUUUUCUUUCUUUUCUUAGUGUGAAACCGAUCUGAGAUCGACAAUGAAAGCAAUGACAGUGUUUUUUAUUUUCCUUUUUUUUUAGUAAUAAAAGUACAUUCUCAAUGUAUGGAAUAAAUUUUACAAAGAGUUGAUGAAAUUGGAAAGAAAAAAAGAAGAAGCAAAUCCUGGGACCAAAGUACUGAAAAUAAUGCUCAUAAAGGCUCGGAAUUAUGAACAUGCAAAUCCAUACUCAAAAUCUAGACCACCCUCUACCCCUCAGUUUCCAAAAACUAAAACCAGUAAGAACAUGGAGGAACAAAGGGGACCAAAGUCAACUGUGGUAGAAGACCGGAGGACCACCUUGCUAUGAGGGGGGAUAGCUGGAAUAUACUCAGUUCAAAGUGGGUACUAUAAAGUUUAUGGUAAGAAAUUCCGAGCAGAGAUUGUUGAGAAUACAGAGGCAUAUGUUGGACUAGAAAUUGAAAGUUGAAACCAUGAUCACCAAGAGUGAAACACUUGUUAUGAAGACUUGGACGUGGUACCAUACCAACAAAUUAAGGACAACUUGGCCAGAGGGGGGUGAUCAUUGAAGGGAGAUGCUACCGCCGUGGAGGAGAACCAGAAUCAAUUAAUUAUCUUCCGGAAGGUGUGAGUAAUAUGGCGAUGAUCUAUGUGUGAGCCGUGGGUUAUGGUGCAUGGUAGGUCAGAGAUGGCUAGCUAGAUAUCUCAGGAUACACAGAGCCGUGAUAAAAGUGGCAGGAAGCUCUAUGCUGGGAGUAUCAACAAGCUAAUGAAGUCUCUAGGCAAUCUCAGCCUGCCGGCAUGCUCUCGGUAACACUCUUAAGCCGUUGAGAGAUUGGUGUGGGAGUUAUCAGAGAUCAGAUCAUGGCUGCAACAACAGAAGGAUUGCCACUAACGGGCGUAGCCUAAUUAAGAUGCGGGACAAGGAAAGAUCAAAAUGAUUCUUUGUGGGCGGCGCAGUGAGGAAGGGAAGGUAACAGGACAGCACAGGCCUUGGCAAAACAAGACCCGAGGAAAGUGUUUGGAUGGAGGAAGUCACCCCUCCCCUCUCUAUUGGGUUCUUAGUUAAUAUUGAUUGAUGUAUACUCUGUUCCUUAAUUAAUAAAAGCAGCAUCAUUCCUUCAA